GACAGAGGAUGCAAGCGUUAUCCGGAAUGAUUGGGCGUAAAGCGUCUGUAGGUGGCUUUUUAAGUCCGCCGUCAAAUCCCAGGGCUCAACCUUGGACAGGCGGUGGAAACUACCAAGCUGGAGUACGGUAGGGGCAGAGGGAAUUUCCGGUGGAGCGGUGAAAUGCGUAGAGAGUCGGGAGGAACACCUGUGGCGAAGGCGGCCGGCUGGGGGUACCCUGACGCUGAGGCGCGACAGCGUGGGGAGCGAACCGG
rnacentral:rRNA from 1 species